rnacentral:rRNA from 1 species
CCCUUAGAUGUUCUGGGCCGCACGCGUGCUACACUGAGUGGAUCAGCGGGUCAGGUUGCGCGAAAGUGUUUCCUAAUCUUGAAAUCCGCUCGUGAUGGGGAUUGACGGUUGCAAUUUUCCGUCAUGAACGAGGAAUACCUUGUAAGCGCGGGUCAUCAUCCCGCGCUGAAUACGUCCCUGCCCUUUGUACACACCGCCCGUCGCUCCUACCGAUUGAGUGGUCCGGUGAGGCUUUGGGAUCUGAGCAAAAAGAGCGUUUCGCUCGUUUGGCUCGGAAAACUUAGUCGAACCUUAUCAUUUAGAGGAAGGAGAAGUCGUAACA